rnacentral:misc_RNA from 1 species
AAGUCGUAACAAGGUUUCCGUAGGUGAACCUGCGGAAGGAUCAUUAGCAAAGGGAAAGGAUAUUAUGAGGGGAGUGAUGUCCCGUAGGGACGUUGCGACCCAUUGCCCUUGUGAACGAGGGGCGCGGGAUGCGCCCUGAUAUACGAGAUUGACUGAAUAAAAAAAUAGAUAAUUACAACUUUUAACAAUGGAUCUCUUGGUUCCU